rnacentral:hammerhead_ribozyme from 1 species
AUUCAGCUUACAAGUCUCAAAUAGGACGAAACGCGCAUCCUGAAU